UACGUAGGGUGCGAGCGUUAAUCGGAAUUACUGGGCGUAAAGCGUGCGCAGGCGGUUCGUUGUGUCGGCGGUGAAAUCCCCGGGCUCAACCUGGGAAUGGCCGUUGAAACUGGCGAACUGGAGUGUGGCAGAGGGGGGUGGAAUUCCGCGUGUAGCAGUGAAAUGCGUAGAGAUGUGGAGGAACACCGAUGGCGAAGGCAGCCCCCUGGGUCAAGAUUGACGCUCAUGCACGAAAGCGUGGGGAGCAAACAGG
rnacentral:rRNA from 1 species